rnacentral:rRNA from 1 species
CCUACGGGUGGCAGCAGUGGGGAAUAUUGGACAAUGGGCGCAAGCCUGAUCCAGCCAUGCCGCGUGAGUGAAGAAGGCCUUAGGGUUGUAAAGCUCUUUCACCGGUGAAGAUAAUGACGGUAACCGGAGAAGAAGCCCCGGCUAACUUCGUGCCAGCAGCCGCGGUAAUACGAAGGGGGCUAGCGUUGUUCGGAAUUACUGGGCGUAAAGCGCGCGUAGGCGGAUAGAUAAGUCAGAGGUGAAAUCCCGGGGCUCAACCCCGGAAUUGCCUUCGAUGCUGUUUAUCUUGAGUGCAGAAGAGGUAAGUGGAAUACCGAGUGUAGAGGUGAAAUUCGUGGAUGUUCGGAGGAACACCAGUGGCGAAGGCGGCUUACUGGUCUGCAACUGACGCUGAGGCGCGAAAGCGUGGGGAGCAAACAGGAUUAGAUACCCCAGUAGUC